rnacentral:rRNA from 2 species
UGGUGCCUGGCUACAGCUCACUCUGCAGUCGAGCGGACCAACGGAAGCUUGUCUCCCUUAGGUCAGCGGCAGACGGGUGAGUAACACGUGGGUAACCUGCCUGUAGGACUGGGAUAACUCCAGGAAACCGGGGCUAAUACCGGAUGCUUGAUUGAACCGCAUGGUUCCUUAUGACCGGGGGCUUCGGCUACCACUUACAUAUGGACCCGCGGCGCAUUAGCUAGUUGGUGAGGUAACGGCUCACCAAGGCAUCGAUGCAUAGCCUACCUGAGAGGGUGAUCGGCCACACUGGGACUGACACACGGCCCAAACUCCUACGGGAGGCUCAGUAGGGAAUCUUCCGCAAUGAACCAAAGUCUGACGGAGCAACGCCGCGUGAGUGAUGAAGGUUUUCGGAUCGUAAAACUCUGUUGUUAGGGAAGAACAAGUACCGUUCGAAUAGGGCGGCACCUUGACGGUACCUAACCAGAAAGCCACGGCUAACUACGUGCCAUCAGCCGCGGUAAUACGUAGGUGGCAAGCGUUGUCCGGAAUUAUUGGGCGUAAAGCUCGCGCAGGCGGUUUCUUAAGUCUGAUGUGAAAGCCCCCGGCUCAACCGGGGAGGGUCAUUGGAAACUGGGGAACUUGAUUGCAAAAAGGAGAGUGGACUUCCACGUGUAGCGUGAAAUGCUUAAAGAU